UACGAAGGGGGCUAGCGUUGUUCGGAUUAACUGGGCGUAAAGGGCGCGUAGGCGGACUUUUAAGUCAGGGGGUGAAAUCCUGAGGCUCAACCCUCAGAACUGCCUUUGAUACUGAGGGUCUCGAGACCGGUAGAGGUAAGUGGAACUGCGAGUGGUAGAGGUGAAAUUCGUAGAUAUUCGCAAGAACACCGGUGGCGAAGGCGGCCAACUGGACCAUUACUGACGCUGAGGCGCGAAAGCGUGGGGAGGCAAACAGG
rnacentral:rRNA from 1 species